UGCUGAUAUUUUCAGUUCUUUCUUCAGAAAUUCAUGAGUGUUAUCAAGUUAGAACCACCAAACCACUUUCAGUGGUGGCCACUUGAUUUACUGAAAUGGCAGUGCAGCAACUAUCCAACCGGCACAGAGUUCUUUUGAUCGAGGGUUAGUCAGGAUGAAGUCUCUCCUUGAUGAGUACAAAGGUCUGCAAGCUGCUACCGGCCACUUCUGCAGGUCACUGCACUCUCUGAAAAAUUAACUUUGGUACUACAGAACAAGCAGAAUAUGUACUCUUUGCACCAGCAAGAAUUGCAACCCGACAGUAAUCUGUUCGCAACUGAAACUAUUGUUAACCCUGGCCCCAAUUAAUUAGACUCUGUGACUUACGAUCAUUUCUGUUCAUAUUUUCUAUACCUGAGUCAGAUAUUUUAUUUCAGUUAUAUUUUUUAAUUUCCCCACCUUCCCUGCAAAGAUUUGUGUCAAAUGAAAAUAAAAAAAAUAGAGCAACUA